rnacentral:rRNA from 1 species
CCUACGGGAGGCAGCAGUGAGGAAUAUUGGUCAAUGGACGAGCGUCUGAACCAGCCAAGUAGCGUGAAGGAUGACUGCCCUAUGGGUUGUAAACUUCUUUUAUAAAGGAAUAAAACGAGGCACGUGUGCCUUUUUGCAUGUACUUUAUGAAUAAGGAUCGGCUAACUCCGUGCCAGCAGCCGCGGUAAUACGGAGGAUCCGAGCGUUAUCCGGAUUUAUUGGGUUUAAAGGGAGCGUAGAUGGGUUGUUAAGUCAGUUGUGAAAGUUUGCGGCUCAACCGUAAAAUUGCAAUUGAUACUGGCAGUCGUGAGUACAGUUGAGGUAGGCGGAAUUCGUGGUGUAGCGGUGAAAUGCUUAGAUAUCACGAAGAACCCCGAUUGCGAAGGCAGCUUACUAAACUGUGACUGACAUUGAUGCUCGAAAGUGUGGGUAUCAAACAGGAUUAGAUACCCGAGUAGUC